rnacentral:tRNA from 1 species
GACCCCGUAGCUCAGUGGAUAGAGCGACAGACUUCGAAUCUGCAGGUCGGGCGUUCGAAUCGCCCCGGGGUCG